GUCAACUAGUUGUUGGGGAUUCAUUUCCUUAGUAACGUAGCUAACGCGUGAAGUUGACCGCCUGGGGAGUACGGUCGCAAGAUUAAAACUCAAAGGAAUUGACGGGGACCCGCACAAGCGGUGGAUGAUGUGGAUUAAUUCGAUGCAACGCGAAAAACCUUACCUACCCUUGACAUGCCACUAACGAAGCAGAGAUGCAUUAGGUGCUCGAAAGAGAAAGUGGACACAGGUGCUGCAUGGCUGUCGUCAG
rnacentral:rRNA from 1 species